rnacentral:misc_RNA from 1 species
UCUCCGUAGGUGAACCUGCGGAGGGAUCAUUACCGAGAAAAGGCGCUCUGCGUCCGGCCUCCCCAACCCUUUGUUCGUCUCAACCAUGUUGCCUCGGGGGGCGACCCGGCCCUCGUGCCGGGCGACCCCGGUGGACCACCCAACCCUGCAUCGUUGCGUCUGAGUCGAAAUAUAAAUCAAUCAAAACUUUCAACAACGGAUCUCUUGGUUCUGGCAUCGAUGAAGAACGCAGC